rnacentral:rRNA from 1 species
GUGGGGAAUAUUGCACAAUGGGCGCAAGCCUGAUGCAGCCAUGCCGCGUGUGUGAAGAAGGCCUUCGGGUUGUAAAGCACUUUCAGCGGGGAGGAAGGCGUUAAGGUUAAUAACCUUGGCGAUUGACGUUACCCGCAGAAGAAGCACCGGCUAACUCCGUGCCAGCAGCCGCGGUAAUACGGAGGGUGCAAGCGUUAAUCGGAAUUACUGGGCGUAAAGCGCACGCAGGCGGUCUGUCAAGUCGGAUGUGAAAUCCCCGGGCUCAACCUGGGAACUGCAUUCGAAACUGGCAGGCUAGAGUCUUGUAGAGGGGGGUAGAAUUCCAGGUGUAGCGGUGAAAUGCGUAGAGAUCUGGAGGAAUACCGGUGGCGAAGGCGGCCCCCUGGACAAAGACUGACGCUCAGGUGCGAAAGCGUGGGGAGCAAACAGGAUUAGAUACCCGAGUAGUCC